UACGUAGGGUGCGAGCGUUGUCCGGAAUUAUUGGGCGUAAAGGGUGCGUAGGCGGGUUUUUAAGUCAGGGGUGAAAUCCUGGAGCUCAACUCCAGAACUGCCUUUGAUACUGAAGAUCUUGAGUCCGGGAGAGGUGAGUGGAACUGCGAGUGUAGAGGUGAAAUUCGUAGAUAUUCGCAAGAACACCAGUGGCGAAGGCGGCUCACUGGCCCGGUACUGACGCUGAGGCACGAAAGCGUGGGGAGCAAACAGG
rnacentral:rRNA from 1 species